UGGGGAAUUUUGGACAAUGGGCGAAAGCCUGAUCCAGCAAUGCCGCGUGUGUGAAGAAGGCCUUCGGGUUGUAAAGCACUUUUGUCCGGAAAGAAAUCCUUGGCUCUAAUACAGUCGGGGGAUGACGGUACCGGAAGAAUAAGCACCGGCUAACUACGUGCCAGCAGCCGCGGUAAUACGUAGGGUGCAAGCGUUAAUCGGAAUUACUGGGCGUAAAGCGUGCGCAGGCGGUUUGCUAAGACCGAUGUGAAAUCCCCGGGCUCAACCUGGGAACUGCAUUGGUGACUGGCAGGCUAGAGUAUGGCAGAGGGGGGUUAGAAUUCCACGUGUAGCAGUGAAAUGCGUAGAGAUGUGGAGGAAUACCGAUGGCGAAGGCAGCCCCCUGGGCCAAUACUGACGCUCAUGCACGAAAGCGUGGGGAGCAAACAGGAUUAGAUACCCUGGUAGUCCACGCCCUAAACGAUGUCAACUAGUUGUUGGGGAUUCAUUUCCUUAGUAACGUAGCUAACGCGUGAAGUUGACCGCCUGGGGAGUACGGUCGCAAGAUUAAAAGUCAAAUGAAUUGACGGGGUCAUAGCUGUUUCCU
rnacentral:rRNA from 1 species